rnacentral:lncRNA from 1 species
UUUCUUAUAUAACUUCUUCCACUCCCUUUUCUGACUGACCCUCACUCUAUUUAGAGCUAGAGCACCUGUGCCAGUUCCGGUUUACAGUUAAGUCGAUGCCCAUCUUAUAAUAAGCUGCCCUUGCUUCCGAGCCUGUUCCUACUACUGAAUGGAAUGAACUACUUGCUUCACACAAGCACAAUCACCUCUAUAGAUAGAGAAGAUACCAGAUGCAGAGUAGAAGACCGGCAGUGAAGGCAACAAUCCAAUUGUCUAGUAUACGCUUGGCUCAUUGAAAACUCUAUAUUUGAUUCCUUUAGCCCGAGAUACCCAUACCCGAUAGCUGCUGUCAAAUCAUUCCCCAAAAGUCAGUCCACCACCUUACCCGAGUAACUUCAUGAAACAAACCAACACCCACCUUACUUUAGAACUUUCACUAGACUCUAAUCCACCUAUGGCUCAGUCCAAUAACUGCCCUUUGGCAUUCUCUAAGACGAGAACUAUAAGCUGGUAGGUAAUCCAAUCUAUAUUCCUGUACGUAAGCCCUCCUUCGAUUCAUUCUAUCUUUAAUCCUAUGUAAAGAGAAAGCCGUAUUAAGAUCAUCAACAGUUUAAAAGUCAAAGCUUAAGGUCCAGUCACUCACGUUUUACCGUGUUUAUAGUAGGCUUCCUCUACUCUCUGUCCUUGACUCUUCACCUCUAGCGGAACCACUUUCAUUCUAUCUUCUAUUAGAAUAAAGAAAUGAGAUCUAUUGAGAAGGUACUCCCUUCCCUGCAGCUGCGCCAACACCUAGAUAGAAAACCUCUGAAUUUUAGUAACAUUCAGAAAAAUAAGUAAGAGUUAAGUCAACCAGAUCAGGAUCAGGUGAGGCAGUAUAGUUUCAAGUUAUAGUUCGAAACGAAAGUAAGGAGCUGAAAGCCAGUGAUAAAGUCAAGUGUAGUUCCAGGUCCCGUGCCAGUAUAAAGUCAGUUAGCAAACGAUUCUUCAAGUUACGUUCAACAAGAAACUACGGGGUAUUGAGAUAGAAGCCGGGCCAAGCAACAAUUAGAAUGAAACCACCUAUGACCAAUUUCUCGAAAAAAGUACAAACUUUAUUGAAUUGACUACUGGCUUAACACAAGCACCAAACAAGUCUCUUAGUUGACCUCAAAAGCAGCGAGUUGACCUCUAUUAACUCUAUCUUACCGCUACUCUGGUAUUUCACUCUAUCUUAUAUUAACUCUAUUGCUGAUCCACCAGUUGUUACGAGUAGUAAUGUGCGGGUAAUUCACAAUUCCAUUCCUCAGUACUAGCUUGCCCACUUGCCCACCCUGAACUAACUCUAUCUGACUAGCUCACCUCUCUAGCUCACCUAUAGCAACUACUACUGGUAUUAAACAAUCACCAGAACAGUACAGGCACCCGACCUAAACUAUGGCUCCCGACCUAAACUAUGGCUCUGUAAACUAAUCAAGUUAUGGCUCAUCUACCGGAGUAAACUAAUACGGAUGCAACUGCUACAACAAAUACUGAUUCAAAAGGACUACUACUUGGAAUCCACUACAGCAGCUGGCUUUCAUCUUAGCUCUGUUCUUCACUUCCAGUCUGGUUUCGGCGGGAAGUCUAGACUACUCCUGGUUGGGGAUUCCACCUUAUACCUACCAAUGCUUAUCUCUUAUUCUUUCCCUUAACCUUAUUAGUAGUUUCUUGGCCCGUUCGAACUAGCAGCCUCUCAAACUUCCACUCAAAAGUAGCAAUCCAACUACUUAACUCAACCCUUGCUUUACUUUAUCUCAUUUCCCACCUAUACUAACUGUCAGAAGAAACUAGUAAUAACAAGAACAGAACCCGGGCAUCUAGCUCUGAUUCCUCUGUCAACAAAACGGAAACUAAGAACUAGGGCUUUAACAACUAACUAUAAGAAAUUUCACUAAGGGUAUACAAGAUUCAAAUAAGAACAUGGGAAUCCCACUAUUGACUCUAGACUGCAAAUACUGUUUUAAGGUUAAGGCUGUGACUACAGGCACUUAAUCUUGAUCUUACAAUAACUAAAUCUACUACUACCAGAAAGAGUCAAACAAAGAAAUAGGACUUUCCUUACUGCCUUCGAACCUUGCUCUACUCGCUUUUACUCUUUCACUCCUACCCUUUGAUCUUGCUUUACUUGUUAUUAAACUUGAACUAAUGCCAACAAUACGGACCUCUCUCCUCCUCGUUCUUAGGUUGACUAUGCCCUACCGUCUUUCACUCUUCAACUAAUUACCUCAAAGGCUUACUUUCUGUCUUUCUUAUUCUAUGAGCCCCGCGCUACCUCCUAUUAGGUUUACAUUACUUGAUUUCAACCUGCAGCUAAUGCUUUUCAUAACCAACCUCAAAACAGGGAAUUACUCUAGUGAUGGCGAGGCUGCUACUACUCCAUCUAGGACUUACUCCACCUACAAUUAGUAUGACUUUUGCCACCUUACAUUCUUUAGCUCAACUCCAAGUCUCCUAACUUAUUCUUUUCAUUCUAUAACUAGUGAUUAGGGUCUUUGUUUCCCUAGCUCUUAACCUAACACCCCUUACUUGCUUUCUUUCACUGUUUACCUCGAAUCUUACUUCUUAGCUUGGUUCUUUGACUCCCCGGUUUGGUUAUGAGGAGCACCAGUAGCAGGCUUAGAGUCAGGUGUUUGGUUCUUAGGGGCACUGCUUGGAGUCUUGUUAGCACCGGCUCUAUUCUCUAACUACUCAGCAGCAGUCCUAGCAGGCAGUGUUGUAGUCUGUAACUCCCUUGGGUCAGUCUGUUUGUGCAGUGUUCAAUUCCCAGACUACCUUGUUUCAGGCUGAGCACCAAUAGUUUCAUUCUUUGACUUAGGAGUGGAAUUCUGAUCUUAGGAGCUAUAGGCACAGGUUUGAUUCUGAGCCUACCCGGUAUCAAUCUGUGACUCCGCCGCUCCACUCUUUUCUAUGUUUUCGGGAACUAAUGCCAACAGAACAGGACUGAAAACGCUGCUUUCAAAGCCACCAUUGCUUGCUUUCAUGCUUUCACUACUGAUUAAAAGACUGAAACGGCUACUUCUAAUAACGAAACAAGAGAAAGGGAAUCGAAUCUCACUACCGAGGGGCAGGCUUAGAACAAAGGUAUCUAGGCUUGAGCUAUAGUAAAGCAAGUAACUCACUACCGCACUCAACACCUUACUGACUAUUUGCAUUAUCGCUUCUGGGCUUUACCCUUCUACUCAACACUAGGGGGCCAACGACUACUUUGAAUAUGUUAACUCAAAAAGGGACUUCAACUAGUGCUUCUCGGGCUAACCUAGCGCACAAUAACUCGCUUUCUUGCUUAUGAAGUGAAGUCUGCUUUUACUUCUUGAAAUUCUUCCACUGAUGCCUUACAUGCUACAACUAAUGGCCUUAUUCCUGCAGCUAGAGUAGGUCUUUCCCUUCUCUAAUUCAUAUAAGAAUUCUGACUUCAAAUAGUUCAUCGAUCUAGUACGAAGGUACGGGCACAACAAUAGAGCGUUGUAGGAAAACUCAUUAUUCAAGUAGCUAAUCUUCAAUACGGACAUAAAUCAGGGGAAACUCCAAUAACCCCCUGACUAGGAUCUUUUCUCUGCUCUAUAUUCUCUAUGUUAGCUAUGGAAACGAGGAAAUCCAAUAAGGAUUUUGAGACCCUAGCUCGGGGAACUAAUUCCGUCAUUGCUGGUCCUUGCUGUUACUCUUGCUUGUUAGUUCCGGUUUUAUACUUACUUAGUUAUUUCCCUAACAUAGUGGUUUCAAGGUGGUAGUAAGCUUAGGGUAGGGCAGUCUAUCAGUUACUGUGACUGAAACAAGGACUACAGGAUACCGGUACUACUUCCAAGGUGGAAAUCAGAAAAGAGGAAUCCGGCACAUACCGAUAAGACGAAAACUGCGCCUGCGACUCAGCUCUCUUAUUCUUAUACUUACUACUCUAAGUCGUAUGCUGCCCUAGCAAAAACCCCUUAUGAACCGCUUACUGCCUUAACUUCCAAUCUCAUAUGAAACUAACCCUCUCUCACUGGAGCAAUGGGCACUAAACCUAUCUCGCAAGCAAAACACGGACUUCAAAGCUGUAUUUACACUAUCAGGUUGACUUCUUUAAUAAGAUGAGCUGGUCUCUGCCUGUCUCUAAGGCUUACUUUCUUGUCUAUCACACUGGAACCCUAGAAUUGGGUAUAGAACUUGAACUCCCAACGCCGAAGUGUCUCUCCCACUACUGGCUAUUGGGCUGACUACCCCUUUUGAAGUCUAUAACAAGUACUUCUAAUACUUUCACUCGAAACCACGAAUGGAGCUAGUAAAGAGAGAGUCCAACUAUGCACUAAGACACUUUCACUCAGAACCCAGGAAGAAAUCGAAAGCUAGAACAGAAAGCCUUUCUUUCCACGAAUAAGAUCAAGGCUAUGGCAAGAAUAAGACAACAGGCAAGCACAUGAACUCACUAUACGAAUGGUUCUCUACCCGCUGACACAUACCCUUCUACUUCAAUUUCAAAGAAUAACGGAAAAGUGGUUGGGGAAAUCUCACAUAUAGAAAUCUAUUAGCUCAGGUUAAGAAGAGAAAGUGUUUUGUCCAGGAGCAGGAGUAAGUGCCCUAUUGGCUAUGGGUCAGGAAGUCGAUAUCAAUUCCAGGUACCUAAAGAAGGGAAGGUAGGAGCGUCGGGAAGAUAAGAUAAUUUCAUCAAAUCAAAUAGAAAUAAGAAAAGGAGGUGAAAGCAGCAAAUACGAAUCACAGUAGCCUGCCUUGCUUUUCUAUUAUUCCGGGCUGGUACGAGAUGACUUCGCUCGAAAGAGUUGAUUCCUUUCAUGCUCUACGAAUUUCCACUACGAGACUGAUUCAUCUUUGUGUUUCAUAAAUUGGUAGUUAGAGGUUGUGUGAAUAAGACCCCUCCUUAAAGUAGGAAUUAGACCAAGGCUAUACAAGCCCGGAUGCUGUAGGAAUUAGACCAAGGCUAUACAAGCCCGGAUGCUACUACAUGUAUAGCAGCCAAAGAUCUCUUCUCUGACCCCCCUCCUUACAACAAGAAAUUGGUUACUAGCCAGGAACUCUAAACAACUCCCUUCAAAAGGAAGCCAUAAGGAAUGCCAAAAUAAGAAAGACUAAAAUAGAGAGGGAAGCCUGUGAAAGGUAAAGCUAGUCUAUAAGAUAGUCUCGGAAGUCCGUUUCGAGGAUUGGAGUCCAGUAGGGAAAUAUCUCAGAGGUCUAACUCUUGCCAGCCUUCUUUCCAGGCUGUCUCAUUCUCGGAGUGGUAUCGUUCUAGGUUUCACUAUCCCCUUUCGUCAUAAGGCGUGGUUCUGUCCCCUUCUUAUUUGAGCAUUAAUGCCAUUUCCAGCGGGUUUUCUCUAUUCCUAGCUUUCCAUCAUUGAAUACCCAUAAGGGAGCUUCUAAUGAAUUUGUAGCGCAUAAGACAACGCUUUGCCCUCAUGGAGCCUAAUGGAGCAACGAAUUCAAUUGAUGCCUAGUUUUGUUGAGCUCCAAAAAGCAGGACUUGGCGAAAUCAUAACUUGGCGGGUAGGCUUGUUUACUUAAAGUCCAAGGGGUGGGGCUUGUGUUAAGCAAUGAUAAAAGAGAGAAAAGGUAGUUAAUUAAUCCAGUAGUAUAACCUAUGUUUGAAGUAAGAAAACUUGGAUUCUAGCUGACAGUAUUGGAGCCUAUACUAAGUAAGAUAACUAUGAGUUGGAAUAGAAAUAGUUUCAUAACCUAUGUGCUAAAGGGAGAAUUGGAACUGCUGAACUGACUGAUCUGCAUAUAAAGGAGAGGAAUGGAAGAGCUAUACUUAGCAACUACCCUGCUGAUCUAAUACUUAGAAGCAAGGUAAUAAAAAGGUACUUUUGGCUGGUGUUAGGUUAGGCAGAAUAGAGACAGAUAAAAUGGUAGCAAUGAGUUCGUGUCAACAGCAGCAGUCAUAGGUGGUGUUUGUUUUUACUCAGUGUCAGCAGCAGCAGUCAUAGGAGUUUUGACUCAAUAGUUAAGCGAGUAACAAAGUCAGGCAGUUUUGAUAGUUUCUAGUGUAGGUAAAGGAAUGGAAAGUGGAGUGGAUGUUGAAUCGAAGUUCGAAUGUCCACAUAGAUAGCAGUUAAGUUGAAAGGAUAAGUAACGCUUGUAAGGUCAGAGUUCAGCUUCACUUCAAGUCUAAGUCAAUCUGUAUCCGGGUGCGAGUCAAGUCUACCAGAGAUAGAGGUUAUUGCUUGUGUCGGUGCUUGUGUUGUCAUAUAAAGAAUAGGCUCUUUUGCUUGCGCGGGUAGUUGUAUAUUAUCUUCUCGCUUAAGAAUCUCUGUCAGUUGCGACUUACAAUUGAGGGUCUUAAAGUGGAGUUCCACCUUUUCUUGUUGUUGAUAGAAAGAAGCCCAGAAGAAUGAUCAGAAAGAGAAAAAGCAUCAGAAGGAAAAGAAGCUGUGCUAAAGUAAGCUUAGGAAUUGCCUGAUUCGCCCUUACCUUUCCAUCAACGAGAAUUACCUGUUCGACUUUACAAGCUUUUAUACCACAGCUCUAUAGACUAAAUGAAAGGAUUUUCCAGCAAGUGGUUUGGAUGCUUCUGCGCUCUAAAGAUUGAAUGAAUUACUUUCAUUCUUUGUUGACUUCAAAUUGAAACAGUAUCUUCUCUUGUUAACCGAGCCCUACGUGGGCAUGAUCUGAGGCUUCUGUAUCUGUAGAAGAUGAAACUAGCACGGCUUCCUCGCCCAAUUACUUAAGGGCAGCAUCUUUUCUUAGACCACAUAAGACCCGUAUAAGACCGUGUAUAAGACCGUUUAGCCCAGUAGUCGUAGGAAUUGUGAGCCUACCUUUUGAGUACGUUGCCACGAGCAAGUCCUUUCUCCGUAGAGUUAUGAGCAAGUCCUUUCUUUUCCAAGUGAAUAAACCUUUCUAAAGCAUCUUUACUAGCUUGAAGAUACUAUACUCUACUUCAGUACUUAUUACUUCCUUGCCUUUACUUUAUGAUUACACUCGAACGGAAAGAGAGAGACUCCACUCAAGCUACUAGCACCUUUCCUAGACUGAAAAGAACCGACUAACUACUCGGGGCUGUACAUCAGUAGAGUUCCAGAAACCAUAGUGCUUACGCUUAUAUUUGUGGCAUAAGCCCUUUAAGAAUCGAAUAGAUCUCUGACUCUUAUUACUAUUUUAUAUACACGAAACUCCACUUGGUUCUUUCCCUAUUGUCCUUGCUUCUUGUUGUUUACUUGUUGACUUGUUUACUUGAGUAAGAGGUCAGCUGCCAUAGCUUCUGCUAGUUACGUUCUUGUUGUUGUCGACGAAGCGGGAAGGAUGGUUUAGUUCUGUUCGCGCAGUUAUUGACUUUCUUCUAUCUCAGAAGAUCAGAAAGAGUACUAUGCCCCUAGCUCUACUUUCAAUCCCUACCUGUAUAGAAUAUUAGUUGGUAAUUCGAGAAGAAGAGGUGUGGUAUAAAGGUUCAGAUGCAAGUGAGCUUAAAGUAGUUCUGAAAGUGAAGUUGAAAGAUAACAGGAACCCAUCAAGCGCUUCUUCAGGUAAAGGAGAGGCCCUUAUAGUAAGUUCCCCCGUAGCGAUAUCUUCUAGCUGAUGAUACUCAUUCCAAUCCUUUUUCUGCGCUCUCAAAGAACAGUAUCCAAUUAUUUGCUUUACUGCUCUAUUCCUAAUGGAUAGGCGGGUGAGUUCCAUUCAUCAUUUUCAUGUUUUUCAAUUGGGUAGCUGAAAACAGGCCAAACUGUCCCUAUAGCUAGAUUCAUGCUUGACUCAAAACUCGCUUGCAGCUUACUUAGCGCUUGCAGUCAAUUAAAUUAUGGAAUCUAAUCGUGGUAAAAACUCGUACACUUCUGACUCGGGAAACUAUACCUGCCCGAGUACCCACUCCUGGAAAGUGACCUAACUGCUUCCUCGCUGCUGGCUCUAUGCUUAGCCAACACAGCUCUCUUACUCGGCUUCCUAUCCUACUUAUGCAUCAUCUGAUCUUGCUUUGGACCUCCACUUAAAGAACUACUUGCUACCAGUGUACUUAUUGACAUAAGAGAUGCACACUCCAUUACUAGAUUAUUAUAAUGCAUGCCCGGAUCUUAAAGAGCAGAGGAGAUUAGAGGCGUCAAUUCAUUCUAAGGAUGGUUUCUGAGUACAGAUGAUGGUGUUUUUCCAUUGGAUUAGUUGGACCAAGUAAAGGGCGCAAAAGGGCCUUAUCCACAGCUUUCCCACCUAGCCUAGCCCUGAUUAUUACCUUCUCGAGUGGACUUCAAUGGAGUCCAUUUCUGUUUAAGCCAAAGAUGCUACAAAUAGAAAGUCAGUAUAGAAAAAGGUCAGAUUACAAACGAGAUUACAAAAGGAGAAAAGGAUAUAUACUAGAUAUACUAUAGAAAGAUUCCUCUGAAGACAGUACAAGUCCAGGCCCAAUAUAAGAAAGAAUCCGUUCAAGAAACAGUAAAGACAGAAGAAUGUUAGUUCCCUGCUCCCCCGCACCGCUCCAGGGUAAUAGAUUAUUAGAUUAAGUCACUAAGCUAGUAUGUGCUCUUCUCUUAACUAACUCCCUUAACCAAUUUCUAAGUCUACUCGAGAAUCCGCUGUGCGAAAGUCAGCUACAAGUGGGUCAGUCAGUUCAAUGAAAAAGGGAAGAAAAGCAGGUGGAUAAACAGGUAUCAGAGCAGGUAUCAAUAAGGAUGUGCAGGUAUCAAUAAGGAUGUGCAGGUAUCAAUACAAUAAGGGAACAAGUGAGCUGCCUUUCCCAAAUUCCUAGUGUGCUAAAGGAAAAGUGGUGGAAUUCCUUGUUUACUCUGGGUCAGGAGGGGUCUUUACUACAUUCCUCCAUUACUGGUGCUAGAUCUAUAUUUGAUAAAUGGAAUUCUUAUGCUCGGGGUUGACUCUGUUACUUCUUAAGUUCAUUCUGAUUCAGUGCCUUGGCUGGUUCACCACCUCCCACACUCCUUUCAUAUUAUGACUUGCCCACGCCUCCCUUUGGUUCUGAAUUCUGAGUUUAAUGUCGUUAGGGCAUAGUUUGAAGUCCUAUAAGCGCUAGUUGAAGCCGCCAAGCAAGAGUAUUAUACUAUUUCUGUUGGGGCUCUAUUUCUUUUGGGGCUAAUGCAGACCUGCCUACCAGCUAGUAAUUCCGAUACCAAUAAGGGAAAUCAAAUAAGUACUCUGAUCAAACAGCUACUACUACUUAUUGAGCUUAUAUACCAUUUAGUAAUAACUAGAUUCUAAUUCAUGCUUGUAUUCUAUAUUCUAAUGCAUUAUUGUAUUAAUAUUAGUAGAGGUGAUAUGAGACACCUAGCCUAGUAGGGGCGGGGCAUACAUCUGAUAUGAGGCACCUAUUACCUAAAACAUUUAUGAAUUCAAAACAUAAGUAAGGGCAACUCGAUAUAGCCCCUAUGGUAGAAGCCUCAUUAAUAGUAGUCAGAUUAUUACUUGAGAGUGUGAGUGACUAACAGGACCCUUUCUGAGGGGAGCCAGUGGCAGCAUCAAACCAAUAAGUCAAUUCACAAUGGCAGCAUCAAACCAAUAAGUCAAUUCACAAACUAUAUUGAUUGCGUGUAUCAAUAGCAUAGGUAGCAAUGGUGUAUCAAUGGAAGCGAACAGAGAAAAGGGAAGGAUUUAUAUGAUCUAUAGUGCAUCUUCAGGUACAAGAAGAGAACACAAGCAAGCAAUACGCAAUGAAGCACAGUCAUACAAGAAUGAGAACACCUAUCAACUCCGAAGAGUGAAACUCAUAAGUAGCAGACAUAAGCCCCAGUAGCCAAACAAUGGAACGAAUAAGUAAGAAAUCCACUAGUGCUCUUCAGGCUGAAACACUACCAGGAGAGCUUCCAACUAAGAAUUGAGCUAGUGUCUCGGAGAACCAAACUCAGCAGCAGAAGAGAAGAAUCAGUAGUGACUUGGCCCUGUUUCGUUCUUUCUCUUGUUGAUCUCAUUCUAUCAGUAGUAGUCGGAUUCCCUAUUAUAAGUAUAAGAAAAAGGAUCGGUAGCGCUGUUGAUAGUUGAGUCAGCACUAGUGCAAUUCCCUAUACUAGUAGUUCAAAGCUCAUACUCACUAACCAUGUCCUGUAUCCCAAGUCCAAUUCUGAUUAUCAUGUUAGUUGCACAGUGUUCUGUAUGCGCUAGGCCGUACCCUAACUCUUUUGUUCCUUGGCUCAGUGGUUCUUCCCGGCAGUCAUUGCAUUCUUUCUAUUAGUAGCUGCAGCCUUGUUAUCGAUACGUGGAUUCCCCGUUUCUAAGUAUCAAUAUGGUUAGUAUUGGUCACAUUCCUUGCUCCGGUCUUAGCCAUAGCCUUGUUAGCCCUUGUUCGAUUCCCGGUUGUGAGCUAUAUAGUAUUGUUUACAGUGGUUUCAUUCCAAUAGUAGUAAGUAAGAGUCUUGUUAGCGAUGGUUUGAUCCCUUAUCUACAGUCAAAGCCUUAUUACUUCUUUGUUUGAGUCGUUAGGCAGUGUUGUUGUCUUAUCUUAUAAGUAGGAGUUUAAGUCGCUGGUGGCACUGUUGGAUUCUUGAGCUCCGUUUUCCUUUUGAUACUAAUGAGGCUCUUAGCACCUUGGUUUUGAUUGAAUUAUUGCGCUACUUAUACUUAGUCUAACUCCUAUGCUCCGGGUUGGCUCUGUUAUACUGGCCAUUCUUUGGCUCUGGUGCUGCAGUCAGUAUUCCCUUUCUUUUGUUGGUUCUUGCGCUCUUGAUGCUAUGCUGAUUCCUAUGUGAGAGUUGGAUUGCUACUUUUGAGUUAAUGCCUGUUGCUAUUGACCGGCUCGUUCUCAUAACUAGGUCUACUCACUCACUCAGCGCAUAAAAGCAAGUAUUUGAUUCUUGACUUUAACCGGCACCGGCCUGUACUUUCUUCUUUCCCUUCCAACUUGGCUAAUAGAAUAUGGGUACCCAACUUCUCACUCAUAUGUGAUUGAUUAAUCUAACCUUACUUGCAAACAAACUCCUGCCCGGACUGCUGACUCAACAAGUCAUUCAUAUCCCUCUUCCUCUCACCAGCCAAGUCCUAAUCCACAUCAGCAACCAAGAAAGAAAUUCGAAUCAAUUAGAGAACCAGUCCCUAUUCUUGUUAUAACGAAGCUAUUACCGAGUCCAAUUUACUGGUGCCAGAACCACAAUUCCUUCUUACUUAAGCAACUAAGCGGUGUACUUCAGUUUUGUUUGUUUUAGUUUGCCACUACGCCUGCACUAGCUCACUUUUUGACCAUCUCCAGGGCGGUAGCUACUAGCUCUCAUGCUUUGAACUUCUAAUAAGGUGCUGAAAGCCUACUGACUUAGUUUCUUUAGCUACUGAUACGAACCCCUACUUCUGAGAUUGCCACUCUUGUGCUCACUACGCUAAGCCUAAUACCAGUGUAUAUUGCCUAUAAGCCAAAGAAUUGCAAUAAGGAAGAUAACUUAUCAGUAGAAGAAUAAAAGCAGUAAACCAAACCAAUAUUAGUAAACGAAUAAAAGCAGUAAACCGGAUUCUAUGCUCUAUUGUUAGCCUAGCCUUCUACUUACUUAUUUCAAACUGCCAAUCCAAACUCGAAAACGGACAUUACUGGCCUUGAAGCUGACCUGACCCGAUCUCAGUCCUUAGUUGCCUUCAUCUCGUUCUUCAACUAGUGCUCUUUAGACUUUCAUCUUAUAUAAUAAGGUGCUGAAAGCCUAGGCAUACAAAACAGGAAUCGGGGCUAACGAGAACUACACUCUUACUGACAAGAAUUGAGCUACUGCUGGCAGGAAUCCAACUAUUACAUACAGACUCGAAAUUCCCCUACAUAGAUGGAACUACCGAGCCCUUAAAGUAAGUUCCCCUAUUUGUUGGGGCAAACUACGACUGAUGAGAUUGAUAUCUGUACAACAUAAACCAGAAUCGAACUGGGGCAUAUAGGGAAUGAACUAUGAGCUACAGAACUCAACUACCAAUACGAAUAUGGCUCCUCAUGAAUAAUAAGAAUGUCUUAUCAGCAACGUAAAGACAACGUUUACAGGCAACGGGACAAGCAACUACCACUAUUAGGCUUUCACACUACCUUAGAUUAGACCCACGCGCUACUAUACUAGAAUUCCAUUAAUAACCAUCAGACUUACCUUUGCUCUUCCGCUCCUUUCUUUCAUUCAGUAUUCCGUGUCCUUAGCUUAGUUUAAUGAUUCCUUGAACUUAUAUAACAUUAAUAGUAUUUCAAUAGUAUUUAAAGCUUUUUGAUAUGAUAUUUAUUAGAGGUCCGAGUUGAGUUCUUUUUCUCCUUUCUUGUUAGAUAGGAAAUAAGCCUGAUAAGGGAAAUAUAGAAUUGAGGUAAAUAGCCUCCCAGUUUGAUAGCUAGAGGAGAGAUCGACUGAUUGCGGAAGGCCAUAGAGUGAAGUCAGAAUCAAAGACAACCUUGGUAUCGGUAGCUAAAGCCUUGUUUUCCAUAGGCUUUCAGCACCCGUUUUUUGCUCGCUACCGCGGAACACGAAUACAGGACUUGGGCAUAACAGCAAAUAAUGUAUUUCUCUAUGAGCCUAGUCACUUCAUGAAACAAGUAAGUAAACUACCCGCGCCCAGGAUUCCACUCAAACUCUCACAUGGGUACCCGAUCUAGACUCUAAUCCCACUGCUCCUUCAUUUGAUCCAAGAGCGAGAGCAGCGGAACAAGCUUUCUAGAAUACCUAGAGCGAGAGCAGCGGAACAAGACCAAUUUAGUUGCUGUAGGAUUCUGUACUUUAUUAUGUAUCUGAUCUAGAGUGAGUAAAGCCAUCAAUAGUUAGUAAAGAUUCAAUCAUAUCUCCUAGGCUGAAACAAGUAGAAAUUCCACAAUAAGUACUGAAUUAAGGAGCAGCUGAUCCAGCAUAUUCUCCAGUCGAUGAAACUAGAGCCAUUACUACCGGGGAAUACAACUGGACUUGCUCUUCAUUCGAAACAUUAGUUGUAACUUGGCUCCGUGUUUUUAUCAACUUCCCCUCUAUCCUAUACCUAAGUCAACUAAUUCUGAUUUCUUACCCCGACCCGACCUAUAUUUAGAGCGUAAGCACCGGCUAGGGCAUCGCGAGUACUUUCUCUUGAUUCUUUUCCUACUGUGACUCACUCCGACUUAAUAGUAGCUACUAUUGCCUAGCCUCAAAGCAAGUACUUUCUCCAUUUACAACCGAAACUAUCACAGCAGCUGACACUCGAACUGGAGCAGGGGCAGGGGCUUGAGCUAGGCAUGAUGGAUCUAGGCCAGUGAAUUCUUAGACUACUGAGUGCAAUUCCGAGUCUACUGAACUAGAUGCGGGACUUAAUAAGUAGAGGCAAGGGAAGAACUGGUUUGAUUCUUGAACUACCUAGUUGGAUUCUUUACUUCAUUCUCAGACUACUUACUUUCCUACUUGCUGGCAGUGGGUUCAGUCUUAGCCUUCGACUUGCUCGUACAUGUUUCGUUCUUGAUAGCAGUGGUUUGGUUCUUACUAGCUACCCCAUCAUACUAGACCUUAGCUACAUAGCAACAGCUUGUAACACCCAAUAAGCCAGGCCGAGG